UCUAAUAUUUGUAUGUUGUCAUUGCUGCAUAAUGUGAACUUUAAUGUCAAGAUGAUGAAAACUUGGGUUAGCAAUGGUCAUUUGAACCAAAGGAGGAUAUUGGUUGUGUAGUUUCAUGUCUUGCAAAAUGGUGCUUAGAUAAUUUUGUCAUUUUGUGGCUCUGUUUGCUGCCUUAUGCUGAAGAACACACACCCUUCUGUUUGCCUACUUCUUCCUUUUGUUGUCAUCUCAUUGUUGCAGGCUUUUAUAUCACUUCCUGCUCGGCUCUGCCUGGGACAAUGGUUUUCAGUUUUUUAAUGGGUCUGUGAGUUCUCUCAGUGGCUGCUGAGGGAUUCUUGAAACGUUACAAAACCAAGCCUGCAGUGGGUUAUCCGGGGGCAGCUGUAGGACCCAGCAGGCAGCAAUGCAAACCCUUCAACAACGUGCAGGUUUUUUUAGCCAUUGUGACAGAGGAGUUCUGUGAAAUGUAUAGGAAAGUUUCUUCUGUUUUGUUACCCCUGAACAGUGGUUUCAGCAUGGGGACAGUCCCACGGACACGAGGUUUUUCAGCCUUUUCAAUACUUUACAGUCAGAGCAGCAGAACAGGGUUUGGUGUUAGGCAGGACCCCCAGAGCAGAGCCAGGUCCCUCCCAGGCAGGCGAAGGACGGUGCUGGAGCUGAGCUGCGUUCAGGAGCAACCUACACGGAUCACAGGGAGCCAGGGACAGCACUCGUGACAGGGCACUGUGACAGUUCUUUAGAGGAGAAUAUUCCAAGCAGCUUCACCAUCAGUUUAAUGUUUCAGAAUCAUUCUGGUAGCAACUUAUUCAGUGCUGACACAAAAGAAGGGUGUUCACAGGAUUUGGCCUGAGACAUGGGGAGCACCCAGAGGACUGGAGUACAGCGUGCUGAGGAAACACUGUUCCAUAGGAAGAGUGAAGCCUGUGUGAAAUGUGCCUUCAGCUGGACAUGGAAACUGCUGAGCUGUUUCUGAGCCAAUACAGAAUAUUAAGAAGAGGUGCAAGUUUGGGCUACUGGGAGGUUCCAGUAUCUGCUAGGAAUUAUGGCCCUGAACCAGGCAGCACAGCCAAAAGACAAUGCAAGAAUUGGCAUUUGCUGACUCACUCCGUUUUCUUCUCCAUCUGGUAAAGACAAGGGGAAGACAGAGACUUAAGUCCCAAAAUGGAAAAGAAUUGCUCAAGCUGAAGAAAUAUUAAAGAAGAAACCCAUCAGUUUAGUCAAUGCAUGAAGUGCAAUGUGAAAUGAAGCUAUUAAAGCUGUAAUGAAGAACCUGUUCCAGAAUAAUCCUUAUCUCCAUUUUUUAUGGUACAGUUAUGCCUAUUUCUCUGAAGCUUUUCCCCCUGUCUGAAGAGGAUUCACCUGGCUGGCAGCCAUAUGGAGUCACAGCACAGUGGGACUGUACUGCUCAUAUUUAUCUGGAAUUGUUCUCUAAGAGCAGGAGGAGGCUAAGCCAUUUGGAAUGACUGCAUUGUAUUUAGAUUAACAGAGAUGUAUCACAGUGUUGUUUCCUGGUAUUAUGAAGGAGUGUACCUGUGUGUACAUGCUUAAUAUUCCAGAAGAAUAACAAGACACUGCUAGUAAUCUUGUGGUUUAUUAACAUUUUUGGAUAAGAGCAAGGUAAAAGAAAGUGUGGCUUUUGCACAAGGCAGAAAGGUCGUUCAUAGAUGCACAUCCCUGCCUUGUAUUUUCAUUGCCUUACAUUUCUAAAUUCUAUUUUUCAGUGGGCUCUGGGGAGCCAGGGAAAAAAGGAAGUUUGUGAAAGACAGGGAGUUGAAGCCAUUUCCAGUAUAGAAAAGUCUGUCACAAUAGAAAUCUGCCUACAAGGAAAGACUUAUUUCUUCUAGCAGAGUGGAUCAAUUACUAAUAGCUCCACUUAGGAACCAGGGAAAGCAGCUUGAAAAAACCUUCCUGAAGUCCAGUCUAAGAGUGGCAUUCUUAUUCUGAACUAGGCAUAUCUUGCAGCAGAUACCCUUGGUAGAAAUUUGUGCUUUCCAUGAGAAGGCUCUAAAGCAAUACUCUGAGCAGCUUUAGUAGUUACUGUACAAGUGCUGCAUAGGAUUGUUGUUGAUGGCUCAACAGACUCCUUCAGUCAGGGGGGUACUCUUGGCUCUGUAGUUCCAACUCCAGCCCGUCUUCCAGUCAAGGCUUAUUAUACAGGUACGUAGCAGAGCACUUCUUCGUGCAGGGAAGAAAAAAGAAGUGUUCUAAUCUAGAGGUCCUAAACUGCACCACUUUCUCUGCCCACUGCCUUAGUGGGAUCCACAAAGUGGGAUGCUGUUACUCCAACUGUUAGUGCCUCAGAACUUUUAUUGCUUGCUUUUUUUUAUCUGUAGUCUCAUUUCUAGGAGUCAGGACUCAACUAACAAAGGCAGGACUUGGUUUUGCAUUAACUGCCAGUAGUAUGCCUGUAACUUUGUGCAUGGCUCAAAAGGCACAGGAUGUUACUCUGGAUAUGGUUCUACGAGUUUAUGCUUGUCUCAGUCAGUGGUGUAUUUCUGCUCAUGCAGCAACCUCACUCCCUCCUUCACACAUGAGCUGUUCUGGUUUGAGCCCUUGGCUGGAGAGUUCUACUGGUUUAAUUGUCAGAAACUCCUCUGCCAGACAAAAAGCCUGUAGUUCAGUACCUGGAACCAGCUCAGGAAGAGCACACAGGAAAGUACCUGGCUCAAAAUGAAAUGGGCAGGAAUGUGUAACUAGGACUGGGACCCUGGAAUGCAUCUUAAGCUGGUGCAAGUAUCCUGUUUUAGAUGUUGUCAGUUAGGACAGUCAAGCAACAGAAAAGCAUGUAACAAACAAAUUUAAGAUAUACAGAAUAUAUUACUCUGUGAUGUUAAUAUGCCUUAGCUUUGGGUGAUUUCAAUGGCAGUCAUACCUGAGGAUCACACCAAUGUAGUACUUAAAAUGCAUAUUACAAAAGUGCAACACUUUUUUUGCUGAGACAUCAUGAAACUGAUAGCAAACCUAGAAGACACUACUUUUAAAAUUUGGGCACUUGAAGAAUGGCUAAAAUACAUGAUCCUCCUGAAAAGAAAAUACACUAAUAAGGUUUUCAUGCACACAUAAUCAGUUCAGCAAUUCCAAGCAAUUUAUUUGGUUGUUUAAUGCAAAUAGAAGUUAUUUCUUUUCAAAGCUGAGAUGGUCCAAGGUUUUUUGUCUAUUUUAAGUUUCUUUAAUCUAACUGGUUUAGACUUGGAUUCUUCCAACUGCUCCUCAAGUUCUACUGGCAAGCAUCACAGUACAA